UGCCUAAUCUUGGACCAGUUUAUGGCCGCA
rnacentral:piRNA from 1 species